ACUAACCAGGAUUCUCUUAGUAACGGCGAGUGAACAGAGAUUAGCCCAACAUCGAAGCCUCUAUGCAUUUGUGUGGAAGGCAAUGUGAUGUAAAGGUGUUCGUUUUCGCAGACUGGCUUACUUGAAGUCCAUAUUUGACUGUGGCUUGUGUAUAAUUAUACUCCCAGAGAUGGUGAAAGGCCAGUUCAAGUUGGUAAUUCAGACCAGACUGUCUGCGUAUAUACGUUCACUGUUGAGUCGGAUUGCUUGAGAUUGCAGUCCAAAUAUGGUGGUAAACUCCAUCAAAGGCUAAAUACCUGUGUGAAUCCGAUAGUCAACAAGUACCGUGAGGGAAAGUUGAAAAGUACUCUGAAGAGAGAGUAAAUAGUGCGUGAAACUACAUGAAGGUUAAACGGAUAGAGUCCAACUGCGUGUUAUUGUUCAUUGCAUUAUUCAUUACUAUGUACUAAUUGUGCAGCGACAGCUUGUCGAUUGGCGUACCCAUUUGUGGGUAUUUGAACAAUUGGCUAUGUUUAAUGGAUGUUGUUGUGCAAGUGUGGGUAAUGUUUAUGACGAUAGCAGAAGCCAUAGUCGGUUAAAUCUAUCAGCACUAAGCUAACAGCGUUUGCAUGAGCGACUUUUUGUCGUUUAUGUGAUCGAUAGACAGUUGUUAUUUACAUAUGCUUGCAUGUGUUUAUGGCAAAAUGGGCUACGGCCUGUUGUGAGCUGAGUGCGCUGUGUGAUUAACCGGUGACAUAUGUUCUAUGUAAUUCAUAAGCUAGCAUAGAUUGCUAUGAGAGCUUGUGAAGUAACGUACGAGCUAUGGUUUAGCGGAAGACUUUCUAUCCGGCCCGUCUUGAAACACGGACCAAGGAGUUAAACUGUGUCGCAAGUCAAGAAGCGUAAAAACUUCACGGCGCAAUAAAUGUAACAUUUAUUUAGUGUGAUCUGUGCAAUUUGGUAAAACAGUUGCACGGCGCAACACUAGCCCGUCCUCAUGUUGUGCUUGGUUACUGAUCAAGAUUGAAACGAGGGCGGAGCUUGAGCGACACAGUUAAGACCCGAAAGAUGGUGAGCUAUGCUUGCAUAGGUUGAAGCCAGAGGAAACUCUGGUGGAAGACCGUAACGAUUCUGACGUGCAAAUCGAUCGUUAAAUGUGAGUAUAGGGGCGAAAGACCAAUCGAACCAUC
rnacentral:rRNA from 1 species